rnacentral:rRNA from 1 species
UAGGGAAUCUUCCGCAAUGGGCGAAAGCCUGCCGGAGCAACGCCGCGUGAGUGAUGAAGGUCUUCGGAUCGUAAAACUCUGUUAUUAGGGAAGAACAAAUGUGUAAGUAACUAUGCACGUCUUGACGGUACCUAAUCAGAAAGCCACGGCUAACUACGUGCCAGCAGCCGCGGUAAUACGUAGGUGGCAAGCGUUAUCCGGAAUUAUUGGGCGUAAAGCGCGCGUAGGCGGUUUUUUAAGUCUGAUGUGAAAGCCCACGGCUCAACCGUGGAGGGUCAUUGGAAACUGGAAAACUUGAGUGCAGAAGAGGAAAGUGGAAUUCCAUGUGUAGCAGUGAAAUGCGCAGAGAUAUGGAGGAACACCAGUGGCGAAGGCGACUUUCUGGUCUGUAACUGACGCUGAUGUGCGAAAGCGUGGGGAUCAAACAGG